CCGACGGUGAGGGGUGAAAGCCAGGGGAGCGAACGGGAUUAGAUACCCCGGUAGUCCUGGCCGUAAACGAUGCGUGUUAGGUGUUGGUAGGGCUCUGAGCCGUAUCAGUGCCGUAGGGAAACUGUUAAACGCGCCGCCUGGGAAGUACGCUCGCAAGGGUGAAACUUAAAGGAAUUGGCGGGGGAGCACCACAAGGGGUGAAGCCUGCGGUUCAAUUGGACUCAACGCCGGGAAACUUACCGGGGGC
rnacentral:rRNA from 1 species